UACCAGCACCCCGAGUGGUCGGGACGAUUAUUGGGCCUAAAGCAUCCGUAGCCGGUCAUGCAAGUCUUCCGUUAAAUCCAGCUGCUUAACAGAUGGGCUGCGGAGGAUACUAUAAGACUAGGAGGCAGGAGAGGCAAGCGGUACUCAGUGGGUAGGGGUAAAAUCCGUUGAUCCAUUGAAGACCACCAGUGGCGAAGGCGGCUUGCCAGAAUGCGCUCGACGGUGAGGGAUGAAAGCUGGGGGAGCAAACGGG
rnacentral:rRNA from 1 species